ACUCGAGUGGCGAACGGGUGAGUAACACGUGAGUAACCUGCCCUCCACUUUGGGAUAACUCCGAGAAAUCGGGGCUAAUACUGGAUAUGACCUUGGCCCGCAUGGGUUGUGGUGGAAAGUUUUUCGGUGGGGGAUGGGCUCGCGGCCUAUCAGCUUGUUGGUGGGGUAAUGGCCUACCAAGGCGACGACGGGUAGCCGGCCUGAGAGGGUGGACGGCCACAUUGGGACUGAGACACGGCCCAG
rnacentral:rRNA from 1 species